GGACGAACGCUGGCGGCGUGCUUAACCCAUGCAAGUCGAACGGAAAGGCCCUGCUUUUGUGGGGUGCUCGAGUGGCGAACGGGUGAGUAACACGUGAGUAACCUGCCCUUGACUUUGGGAUAACUUCAGGAAACUGGGGCUAAUACCGGAUAGGAGCUCCUGCUGCAUGGUGGGGGUUGGUAAGUUUCGGCGGUUGGGGAUGGACUCGCGGCUUAUCAGCUUGUUGGUGGGGUAGUGGCUUACCAAGGCUUUGACGGGUAGCCGGCCUGAGAGGGUGACCGGCCACAUUGGGACUGAGAUACGGCCCAGACUCCUACGGGAGGCAGCAGUGGGGAAGAUUGCACAAUGGGCGGAAGCCUGAUGCAGCAACGCCGCGUGCGGGAUGACGGCCUUCGGGUUGUAUACCGCUUUCGCCUGUGACGAAGCGUGAGUGACGGUAAUGGGUAAAGAAGCACCGGCUAACUACGUG
rnacentral:rRNA from 1 species